rnacentral:rRNA from 1 species
UAGGGAAUCUUCGGCAAUGGGGGGAACCCUGACCGAGCAACGCCGCGUGAGUGAAGAAGGUUUUCGGAUCGUAAAGCUCUGUUGUUAAGGAAGAACGAGUGUGAGAAUGGAAAGUUCAUACUGUGACGGUACUUAACCAGAAAGGGACGGCUAACUACGUGCCAGCAGCCGCGGUAAUACGUAGGUGGCAAGCGUUGUCCGGAUUUAUUGGGCGUAAAGCGAGCGCAGGCGGUCAAUUAAGUCUGAUGUGAAAGGCCCCGGCUCAACCGGGGAGGGUCAUUGGAAACUGGUUGACUUGAGUGCAGAAGAGGAGAGUGGAAUUCCAUGUGUAGCGGUGAAAUGCGUAGAUAUAUGGAGGAACACCAGUGGCGAAGGCGACUCUCUGGUCUGUAACUGACGCUGAGGCUCGAAAGCGUGGGUAGCAAACAGG